CUUUUUUUUUUUUCCCCUUAAAUUUUACUUUUAAGUUUUUUGAAAUAUUUUGCAAACUAAUCUGGCGUGUGGUAGAUGAGGAUUUAAUAGAUCUUAGCGUCAAAGUAAUAAUAAAAGUUCUGUCAUUGCCCUCAAGAACCCUACCAUCUCAGAAGGAAGGCAGUGCUCUGAGAAUGUUAGCAGGCCAUCCUGGCACUCAGAAAUAGUGGGGUGCUGGCAAGGGGCCGGGAGUGCUGAGUGAUAGGGGGAGCCCAGGUCAGCACACAGGUAAGAGAACAUCCCAGCCUGGACUGCAGAGAGCGAGGGUGGUCAGGCAAGCUCUGCUUUCACUCCAAGACUGGAAGGAUGAGGGCGCCUACCAGGAUGAAGAAAGGAGAGGGAGGAGUGAAGGAUGCAGGCAGCGUGCACGGUACCCAGGACGCGCAAGCUGACCUGGGGAUGGCAUCUCCAGCCGCACGUGGUCACAGCAGCUGGCUGGCCUGGGCCAGCUCAGGGGAGUGAGUGCCCCUGGGUGUCUCCUUCGGGGACAAGUUAGAAAAGAAGGCAAUUAGGACAUGCUCCCUGACCUCGAGAAGCCUUCGAGCCUGUAGAGGACGCCGAUGGAAAAGUAGCCGAGUGUUCUGUGGCACAGAAUGUCCAGACAUGGCAUCAUCUACUGGGCUGCCCAGAAGACAGCUGGGAAACACAUUGCAGGAGGGUUCCCAGAACAAAAGACCCCUGGGCGGAAGCUUGAAGGCAGUUCCAGGCAGCAGCAUGAACCUGAGUUGCUGGUAUGUGUAAAGGGCUUGAGGCCAGCCCUUCAGACACAGAGGCCGCCCUGUGUCUGAGCUGCUCCUAAGGUGCUCCGUCCAGCUCCUCCUGAGCCAAGGUGUUUGGGUGCAGCCUCCAAGCAGAGAGGUUCUUCUCAAACUGACCGGGCGGUGACCCAAAGCAGCCCCGGGGACAGUGCCCCGGCCCCACCAGCCAUUUUUCCACUCUGGCCUUUUUCUUCGUGUGGACGCAGCCCAUUUUCUGGAUAAGAACCUGCUGCGUAAGACCAUUCUUGCUCACGCGCCCCUCAGCAUGUGCAAACCAGCAACCGCAGAUAGAUCCCAGAUGGCGUUUUCCUGCUCUCGCAAACCUUGAAGUGGGCCCUGCCCGCGGGCACACCUGCCAAGGAAAAUGCUGUCCUCGAAAUGUUCCUGGCACCGUGUUCAAGAGGUGCCGACCAAGGGCUGGAAUUGCUGACCUCCCUGAAAGAGCAGCCCGCAGCCCUGGCCUCCGGGGUGAGCUCCCCUCGUGGGAGGGCCCGGCCGAGGUAAGAGACUCGCUCCGAGUCACAGAGCGCUGGCCCAGCCCAUCGCUCGCAGCAGGGGACGUGGUGGUUUCUAGGAAGGCCCUUCCCAGAAGGGAGAUGACUCAGGCUGGUCCCAGCUCCUCCUGAAGACCGGACAGACAAGGGGAGGAGCUAGGAGGUGUUCCGGGGACAGGCCAGGCCCUGCCUCCAGGGGCCAGAGGUGCAUUUUAUCCCAUCAGCCAGCAGAGAGCACGGGGCAGGUUGAACCGAAUCCCUUCCCUCUGUGGAACCAUCAGUUUCCAAACGACAGACUACUUCUGCCCACACCUGGAAGGGCCAGGGACACAAGACACGUCGGCUUCUCCGCUAAGACUUUCCAUCCGAUGAAGAGCGGGUCAGGAGAGCAGAGCUGGGAAGUCAAAGGGACCCUUUGCUCCCUCUGAGUACCUUCUACCUUCGGAUGUUCUUUGAACAGUCUCUUAAAAGGUGAUUGGUUGCCAUGAUAGUUAUAAAGACCAAGGUGGUGGGAGGAGUUCCCGUCGUGGCACAGUGGAAAUGAACCUGACUAGGAACCAUGAGGUGGUGGGUUCGAUCCCUAACCUCGCUCAGUGGGUUAAGGAUCCAGCGUUGCCAUGAGCUGUGGUGUAGAUCGCAGACACGGCUCGGAUCUGGCGUUGCUCUGCUGGCCUACAACGCAGACACAGAGACACCAGAUCUGAGCCACGUCUGUGACCUACACCACAGCUCACAGCAACGCCGGAUUUUUAACCCACUGAGCGAGGCCAGGGAUCGAACCUGCAAACUCAUGGUUCCUCGUCGGAUUCGUUUCCGCUGCACCACAACGGGAACUCCAUGUUUUCCCCCUCUCUUAAGGAUCUCGUUUAUGAAAGUGAACAGGGAAUUCGUCCUGCUGCUUUUUGCAAGAUGGCUGUGAAAUAUGCGCCUCUCCUGUCACACUCUUUGUGUUCUAGAAUAUGUGGGAAGGGUGAAUUUGCUGUCUCCCUCCUACAUGCCAGGGGCCUUCCCCUGCAUCUUCUUGGUUUACCUGUGUGCACAUAUCCUCACCUGUAUCCAGCUGUAUCCACAGGUGCAUUCAGUGACUUAUCCAAGGUCACCUCGUGAGUGGAGGGCAGACCUUGGUUGUUCACAAGGUCUCUUCUCUCCUACACUCUCCCCAAAGUUGAGGCUUCACCUCUGCCUUUUGCAUCAUGUCAAGGGCCGAAAGGCACCCCCUGCCUGACCUUUUGGCCUGGGAUACGGAAGUUCGUUGAAUCUUGCCUGGCAGGGCCGGGAGCUGGCCCUCUUUCCCAAUCAAUGUGUAUCAUUUCGGCAAGACACCGAGUCCGCUGCUGGAGAGAUUGAUCCUCUCGUUAUUUAUCUUCCCCCGCCUGGUGUAAAUUGGUCAGCCUGAUCCUGUCCACAUGAUAAAAAUCAUAAUGUCUCAAAUUACUUACUCAAUAAAAUGUGGGUUUGUCUAUUAUUAGUGAUCAUUAGGGUUAUAAUGCAGCAUGGAAAUUUGGAGCAAAUUAACUACAUAUGCAAGCUCAUGUGCAGUUAAUCAUACACACACAGUUCCAGUGGGCAGAAGGUUUUGCAAGAAUUGUUUCAGGAAGAAUUGCUGGGAGGGGAGUUCAGUACCCAAGUUAUUAUUUUUUCAUCUCCUGUUCCCUCUUAAUCUGGAUUUCUCAAAAGCACAUUUAUCUCAUACAACAUCGAAUCCUGCAAGUACAAAAAAAAAAAAAAACAAAAACAAAAAA
rnacentral:lncRNA from 1 species